UUGUCUUUUGUGGAUUCUAUGCUUGUGCCC
rnacentral:piRNA from 1 species